rnacentral:misc_RNA from 1 species
GAUGAAGAACGUAGUGAAAUGCGAUAAGUAGUGUGAAUUGCAGAAUUCAGUGAAUCAUCGAAUCUUUGAACGCACAUUGCGCCCCAUGGUAUUCCGUGGGGCAUGCCUGUUCGAGCGUCAUUUACCCCCUCAAGCUCCGCUUGGUGUUGGGGCCUGCUGCACUGGCAGCCCUUAAAAUCAGUGGCGGCGCCAUCUGGCUCUAAGCGUAGUAAUUCUUCUCGCUAUGGAGUCCUGGUGGAUGCUUGCCAUCAACCCCCAAUUUUUCUAUGGUUGACCUCGGAUCAGGUAGGGAUACCCGCUGAACUUAAGCAUAUCAAUAAGCGGAGGA